rnacentral:lncRNA from 1 species
CCAGUCCAACCCAGUCCAUCACCUGGAGGCUGGAGAACCACGAGGCUGUUGCCUGUUCGUCCCCCUCUUCUGAGAGGUCCAGGUCACCUGCUCUGGGAGAAGCCAGUUGCCAUGUUGUAAGGACACUCAAGCAGCCCAUGGAAUGACUCACAUGCUGAAGAACUGAGCCCUCCCUCCUUCCAACAGCCAGGGAGGAACUAGGGCUUCUUGCCAAUAACCAUGUGAAGAAGCUUGGAAAUGGAUUCUCCCCCAAAUGAGUCUUCAGAUUACUUUAGACUAACAUCUUGACUGCAACCUCUAGAAAGACCCUGAGCCAGGAUCACCAAGCUCACAGAAGCUAAGAGUUAAUAAAUGUUUGAAUUAA